rnacentral:rRNA from 1 species
UACAGGGGGGGCAAGCGUUGUUCGGAAUUACUGGGCGUAAAGGGCGCGUAGGCGGCCCGCUAAGUCGAACGUGAAAUCCCCGGGCUCAACCCGGGAACUGCGUCCGAUACCGGUGGGCUUGAAUCCGGGAGAGGGAUGCGGAAUUCCAGGUGUAGCGGUGAAAUGCGUAGAUAUCUGGAGGAACACCGGUGGCGAAGGCGGCAUCCUGGACCGGUAUUGACGCUGAGGCGCGAAAGCCAGGGGAGCAAACGGG